UACAGAGGUCCCAAGCGUUGUUCGGAUUCACUGGGCGUAAAGGGUGCGUAGGCGGUCGGGUAAGUCUGAUGUGAAAUCUCACAGCUUAACUGUGAAACUGCAUUGGAUACUAUUCGGCUUGAGAGUUGGAGGGGGGACUGGAAUUCUCGGUGUAGCAGUGAAAUGCGUAGAUAUCGAGAGGAACACCAGUGGCGAAGGCGAGUCCCUGGACCACAACUGACGCUGAGGCGCGAAAGCUAGGGGAGCAAACAGG
rnacentral:rRNA from 1 species